rnacentral:rRNA from 1 species
UACAGAGGUGGCAAGCGUUGUUCGGAAUGACUGGGCGUAAAGGGCGCGUAGGCGGCUUGCACCGUCAGAUGUGAAAUUCCUGGGCUUAACCUGGGGGCUGCAUUUGAUACGUGUGGGCUUGAGUGCGGAAGAGGGUCGUGGAAUUCCCAGUGUAGAGGUGAAAUUCGUAGAUAUUGGGAAGAACACCGGUGGCGAAGGCGGCGACCUGGUCCGUGACUGACGCUGAGGCGCGAAAGCGUGGGGAGCAAACAGG